AUGAUAGAUGAUACUUUCCAUAUGCCAUCCAGACCAGGUGGUGGUCCUUUUCAUUCCAGAAGAGGGAAUUUUCCUCAUCGUGGACGGGGCAGAGGCCGUUUUUCAAGAACACCUAAACAGUUUCAUGCAAACAGACAAGGUAA